rnacentral:lncRNA from 1 species
GGUUUCGCGAUACAGAGAGUAGUAGGUAGAGAGAGAGAGGGAAAGGAAAUAUUAUUGGUCGCCAACAAUUUACUUUAAGGUCCCCCCCAACAGGAAAAAACUCAGAAGGAAGAUCAAUGGCGAAGAAGGAAGAACGGGUUUGAGGAGCUGUGAGUUUCUCUAUCAGCCAUGGUGGAUCCAGCAAAGGCAUUUGCUCUUAUAGUGUUGAAUCUGGUUGUGGUGUGGUUUCAGCCGACAUUUCAGCAGCAGAGGCUCAC